rnacentral:tRNA from 1 species
GCGGUCGUGGCGGAAUGGCAGACGCGCUGGCUUCAGGUGCCAGUGGUGGCAA